GGUUGAUGUCACACGAAGCUGUCUGCAUCUUAUUGUCCUUUUCAUGGCCAGAGCAUGUGAUUCCUCUGGGAGAAGCUUGCCGCUGAGUGUCGGAGGAGGAAGUCACUCUCUUUCAACACCUGAGUGGGCGACUUACUUGCAGAUUCAGAGUGGCAGAGGCGGAGCUUCCAAUUAACCACUUGUUCCAACUUCUGUUGAUGAGUCCACCUGGUACUUAAGCGUCUGCGUGAGAUCAUUCAGUCACUUCGGAAUCAACACCCCCCCCCC